GCAAAACGCGAAGAACCUUACCUGGCCUUGACAUGCCACUAACGAAGCAGAGAUGCAUUAGGUGCUCGAAAGAGAAAGUGGACACAGGUGCUGCAUGGCUGUCGUCAGCUCGUGUCGUGAGAUGUUGGGUUAAGUCCCGCAACGAGCGCAACCCUUGCCAAUAAUUGCCAUCAUUCAGUUGGGCACUUUAUUGGGACUGCCGGUGACAAACCGGAGGAAGGUGGGGAUGACGUCAAGUCCUCAUGGCCCUUAUGGCCAGGGCUUCACACGUAAUACAAUGGUCGGUACAGAGGGUAGCCAACCCGCGAGGGGGAGCCAAUCUCNGAAAGCCGAUCGUAGUCCGGAUUGUAGUCUGCAACUCGACUACAUGAAGUCGGAAUCGCUAGUAAUCGCGGAUCAGCAUGUCGCGGUGAAUACGUUCCCGGGUCUUGUACACACCG
rnacentral:rRNA from 1 species